UAGGGAAUCUUCCGCAAUGGGCGAAAGCUUGACGGAGCAACGCCGCGUGAGUGAUGAAGGUCUUCGGAUCGUAAAACUCUGUUAUUAGGGCAGAACAAAUGUGUAAGUAACUAUGCACGUCUUGACGGUACCUAAUCAGAAAGCCACGGCUAACUACGUGCCAGCAGCCGCGGUAAUACGUAGGUGGCAAGCGUUAUCCGGAAUUAUUGGGCGUAAAGCGCGCGUAGGCGGUUUUUUAAGUCCGAUGUGAAAGCCCACGGCUCAACCGUGGAGGGUCAUUGGAAACUGGAAAACUUGAGUGCAGAAGGGGAAAGUGGAAUUCCAUGUGUAGCGGUGAAAUGCGCAGAGAUAGGGGGGAACACCAGUGGCGAAGGCGACUUUCUGGUCUGUAACUGACGCUGAUGUGCGAAAGCGUGGGGAUCAAACAGG
rnacentral:rRNA from 1 species